rnacentral:tRNA from 1 species
GUUUUGCUAGUAUAAUUAGAGUAUUCUUGAUUUCCAAUCAAGAGGUUCCAUUAGACUGGAGCAAAACUU